rnacentral:rRNA from 1 species
UACAGAGGUCUCGAGCGUUAGGCGGAAUCACUGGGCUUAAAGCGUGUGUGGGUGGAUCGGUAAGUACCUUGUGAAAUCCCACAGCUUAACUGUGGAACUGCUUGGUAUACUGCCAGUCUUGAGCCAGCUAGGGGCUACCGGAACAAAUGGUGGAGCGGUGAAAUGCGUAGAUAUCGUUUGGAACGCCAAUGGUGAAAACAGGUUGCUGGGGAUGUGCUGACGCUGAGACACGAAAGCCAGGGGAGCGAACGGG